UACGUAGGGUGCGAGCGUUAAUCGGAAUUACUGGGCGUAAAGCGUGCGCAGGCGGUUCGUUGUGUCGGCGGUGAAAGCCCCGGGCUUAACCUGGGAAUGGCCGUUGGAAACUGGCGAACUGGAGUGUGGCAGAGGGGGGUGGAAUUCCGCGUGGUAGCAGUGAAAUGCGUAGAGAUGCGGAGGAACACCGAUGGCGAAGGCAGCCCCCUGGGCUAACACUGACGCCUCAGGCACGAAAGCGUGGGGAGCAAACAGG
rnacentral:rRNA from 1 species